UUGCUCACUUCAGCAUCAUAGACACUAAAAUUUCAACACAGAGUAAAUGAGCAUGGCCUCUCUACUAGAAUGGCAUGCAAAUUUUUGAAGAGUUCCAUAUUUUU